rnacentral:rRNA from 1 species
UACGAAGGGGGCUAGCGUUGUUCGGAAUUACUGGGCGUAAAGGGUGCGUAGGUUGUUUAUCAAGCUAGUGGUGAAAGCCCGGAGCUCAACUCCGGAACUGCCAUUAGAACUGAUAGGCUAGAGAGUGUUAGAGGUGAGUGGAAUUUCUAGUGUAGAGGUGAAAUUCGUAGAUAUUCGGAGGAACACCAGUGGCGAAGGCGGCUCACUGGUCCGGUACUGACGCUGAGGUGCGAAAGCGUGGGGAGCAAACAGG